rnacentral:rRNA from 1 species
UACGGAGGAUGCAAGCGUUAUCCGGAUUGAUUGGGCGUAAAGCGUCUGUAGGUGGUUACGCUAAUCGGCUGUUAAAGAUCAGGGCUGAACCCUGAGCAAGCAGUCGAAACUGCGUGGCUGGAGUACGGUAGGGGCAGAGGGAAUUCCCGGUGUAGCGGUGAAAUGCGUAGAUAUCGGGAAGAACACCAAAGGCGAAAGCGCUCUGCUGGGCCGAAACUGACACUGAGAGACGAAAGCUAGGGGAGCGAAUGGG